rnacentral:rRNA from 1 species
AUGGAGACUUCCGCUGUCCCUGAGGCGACUGAGGCCUGGCCUCCUAUGGAAAAUGAUGAAAAUCAGAAGCCAUUUCCGUUGACCGGACCGGCAUUACUGUCGUUUCUAAAGGCAGUUUCAGAUGUAUCAGUCACACCAAUCACAGUUCUCAAUGUAUACAGUGCCGCUUGCGUCCUCACGCGGGCAGAAACUUCUGUAAACAUCGUACUGAAGGCUGCAUUUCUGGGACUUCCAUUCUCGAUUCUACCAAUUUUGUUGAUCACACGCCGCAUCAUUAGGGUGGUUGAGCAAGGUGGCUGCAGUAUGGAUAUUGGAGCCUUACUUGUUUUAUCUCAGUUUAUAUAUAUCUAUGUGCUUGGGGGCGUGACCAUGAUGACGACGUUUCAAGAAUCAAGAAUUCUCGUGGCUUCGGUGACCAUUGUACUUAUUUGCAUUUGCAUCAAGAUCUGGGUUUGUCUUUCCAACCAUCCAAAGUUUUUGAUGGUCAUCAGUUCCAACCGAGUAGAUCUCAAGAACAGUCUUGACAUGAUUUCAGUUCAGAGCAUCGCCAAUGUGACCAACACCAAGGGUGCGGCAGAGAUGGGCCCCGAGCACUCUAUGCGGGCCAAUUUAAUUAAGAUCUCCCUUAACAUUUGCUUCGUGCUGUAUCUAGUGUUCUACAUUGGCUUCAUGCUCGUGUUGGCCAUUGUUGCUGAGAAAUGGUGGCAUGCGCUGCUGGGCAUCGCCGUCAUGUCACCAAUCCAUGUGUCCGGGCUCUGCUUGAUAUGUUAUCUGAAAAAGACGGGCUUAUCAUGGUACACACCAUGGAGCGUCCAGACGGUGACGAUGAUCUUGGUUGCAAAUUGGCAGCAUCUGGAAACGUGCAAUCCAGUGUGCGAAUGA